rnacentral:rRNA from 1 species
UACGUAGGGGGCUAGCGUUGUCCGGAUUUAUUGGGCGUAAAGAGCGUGUAGGCGGCCAGGUAGGUCUGCUGUGAAAACUCGAGGCUCAACCUCGAGACGUCGGCGGAAACCAUCUGGCUAGAGUCCGGAAGAGGAGAGUGGAAUUCCUGGUGUAGCGGUGAAAUGCGCAGAUAUCAGGAAGAACACCAAUGGCGAAAGCAGCUCUCUGGGACGGUAAUGACGCUGAGACGCGAAAGCGUGGGGAGCGAACAGG